GCCUGGGUGGUGAAAUUGGCAAACACGCACGACUCAAAAUCGUGUGCCGCAAGGCUUGGGAGUUCGAGUCUCCCCCCGGGCA
rnacentral:tRNA from 1 species